AAGCCAAACAAAGUUUUUAUUGUUAUCAUUAUUAUUAUUAGUUAUUGUUAUUUUAAGAUGGGGAAUUACAGACAGAAGGGAAAUAUAGGUAGGGAAGGUUAGUUAGAACAGGCGUGUAUUAUACAAACAGCUUUUUUUCUAACAAUGAAGUCACUGCUGAGUCUCAAGAUGAGGCAUUAUCUUUCCUAAAUGCUUUGGAGCAUUUCAUGUGUUCUCCUCGUUCUUUAUUCUUUGAUUAAAAUGUUAAUGUAUUAUGUGUACCUGCCCUCACAGCAUCCUGGCAACCACAGGAAAACAUGCCAGCUCAAAACAACUAUCUGCAUUUUUAAUAACGCCUAGUAUUCUCUACAAAUAGGAUUUCAGAGUCCAAAACUUUUGAUUUAGAAAAUGAAACAGCUCUUGUUAAUUCUAAUAGAAAAAGGCAGCUUGAUUUCCAAUGCUCUGUUUUAAUUUGGGUUUUACCAGCCGGUGAUUUUAUUGAAAGUGAAAUCCGUAUUCCUGUGUAGCUUAAGCAUCUCAACCCUCAACAUUUCUUCAGACUGAAACUCCCAAAUGAAUAAAAAGACAAUGCCUAUGUCAUUGCUCCUGUUGUUUCUGUUAGCAUAACAUCUUUGAUGCAUGUUUGCACACUUCUAGACUGUUGUCCUCUCUGGGCCAUCCCAGUGGCUGAAUCAAUGGCAGAAGUUAUCAGAGGGAGUGGCCUUCAGAUUCCUAGAAGCUGAGCUAGGAUUCGAAUCCAGUUCCCUAACUCCUCUUCUGGUUCUCCUGCCACUCAGCCACAUGGAUUUCUUUCUCUUACACACAGGCUCUUUUUGGCCACGGUAAACACACUGACCUUUGAAAUAUGGAAAGAAAAGCGCUUUGAAAUAAAACUGGCACAAACAGCAGUCAGACAGCCGUCAUCUGGAGGCUGAAACAAAGAGGAGCAUAGUUUUCAAGCUGUCUUCGUAAUUACACGAAGCAGUUAUCACUCAGGCCCCAGUCUGCGCAUUGCCCCCCAAACAAACAGCCGAGGGCUGAGAGAGCACAUAGGCCACUUUGUUGCGCCAGCAUACUGGGGAGUGGAGAGCCCCCCAGCUAAAAUCACAUGUGGCUUGGAGUGUUUUCCAGGACUUCAGGCUUUUUCCUUUCUUCCUUCCCCAUUAAACCCCUCUGCUCUUCUUGGCAAAGGCCUUCAGGUGAGGUAAGCGCCAAUUAACAACAAAGAGCUUGAUGUAUUUCAAGUUUAUGGCUUAGAGCUGUGUUCUCAUGAAAUAUA
rnacentral:lncRNA from 10 species